rnacentral:rRNA from 1 species
AUGGAGGCUCCAGCUAGUGACCCGGAGGCGAGGCGUGGGCUGGUCAUCGGCACGGCGCGCAGGACGGCGGCGCUUGCAGAGGCGGAGAGGAAGCUCUCGAGAUGCGCGGUCAUGGCAGUGGUGGCGGGCUCUUCCCUUCCCUUUGAGCUCGUUGACGUCAAGCGGGCGCUAGCGCUGCGCUUCAGGAUACGCGAAGAGGAGGUCAAGGUGUCCCUGCGAGCCCUCGGCGAGCUGCUGCUCAUCUUUGAUGACGCCGCGAUCCGGGACAAGGUGUUGGGAAUCCAAGGACCCAUGGUGCUUGGGAGAGUCACCUUCAUGGUGGCACAAUGGUCGCGAUUCCGUCAUGCAUCGCCAGCAAAGAUGCUCUACAAGGCCAGGGUGUGCCUUGAGGGGGUGCCGGAGCACGCCUGGGACAUCGACAGCGUCACCCCUCUGUUCGACCCAUCCAUGCUCAUUGAGGGGAUUGAUGCGGAGGUGAGGCGGGAGGAGGAGACGGGAUGUCUCCGGCUGUGGGUGUGGAUGGAUGCGGUGGAGAAGCUGAAGACGCGAUGUGUGCUGCAGCUCGAGGAGCCUCGUGACACGGGCUCGCCAGGGAUGUGCUACCCGGAGCUCAACAUCAUGGAAGAGGUGCCGGCGAGGUGGGGAUAG